CUUCGCAGCUCUUCGCGUUUACAAUGCCCCAGAUAAAAAUCCACCACCUUUUUACACAGAACAAAAAAUUCAAACAAUAAAAACAGAUCACCUGCACGCACUUAUCGAAAACGAAUAUUUGAUUACGUUAAAAACAAACGGCACAACGAAAAGAACAUGUCUGUUCAGUCUUUAAUGGGCUCUCAGGUCGGUGGUUUACGAACGUAAACGGAAUGAAUCGGAUUCCUCCUGCAUGACAAGUGCAACUGAGAGACUGCCGACUGGUCUGCUUUGCUGGAAAUGCUAGCUGGUGGAAGAAAUGUCGCGAUUAACGUGCCAUUGCCGGUGAUCGUUUGCAAGGUUGCCGAUGUGAAGACAAAAAAGUAUCCUAUAAAAAAGUGGCCUUGCACCCCAACAAUUCCUUCAAUCAGGUUGAAUGGAACGAAUGACAGGGACAAACGGUUACCCGGUUAAACAUCUUAUAGAUAUAAAGGAAAGCAUCCGAUAUAUAUGGUAAUCUGGCAACAGCCGCUUAACUUGCCGGAGGUACAAGAUCAAGAGGCGAGGUCGGCGGUGACGAUAGUGGGAACGGCAACGAGCUACGGCGGCGACAAAACAGACCGGCGCCGAAUUCAACGCAAGCGUAACAUCGCGAAAUUUAUACCGUAGUUGAUGACGAUGCAACAAAGACGAAGAAUGGAUUCGGGAGACUAGGAUUGCAAAUAAUUUGAAAGUUCUAUAGCUUCCAGGUUGGAUUUUCAACCACACUCAAAGGACUCAACCGGUACAUCACAAACAAAUAAAUUCAACUUGACUACAACAACUGGGAAUUCAGUUGAGGGCUGCAACCAUCACGGAUUUCCAUAAAUGAGUCCCAGUCAUCUUCAAUAUAUAGAAAUCUUAGUUGUUUUUAAUUUAUAAAAAAGGCCAUUCCUUGUUAUAUUUUCAUUGUUUUUUUUAAUCUUUCUUUAUAUAGUAUUGUGUAACCAUACAUAUUUUUUAGUCACGUAAGAAAUUGAAUUAUUUUACAUUAAGACAUCACUCGCGAGGCUGGUCUAGUACAGUGAACGGUCUCAUUUUAAUUAGUUAUGUAAAUAGUUUUCUUAUCUUAUCUCAUCGAUCAGAUUUUUAUGAUUUCAUUAUAUUUUUCUCAACAUACCGUAUAUUAUAUGGAAGUAUUUAACACUUCUAUUAAUUAUUAUCAUUUUUUUAUACCUUAGUAUUGGUAAUAUUUAAUGUAUGGUAAUGGGAGUACGUUCCUAUUAUAAAUAUUUUUAUAAGAUCUAUAUAAUUUUAUUAUCAAUAGAUUAACAUUAACAUAACCUCAAAUUUCUUGUUGCUAAUCACCAUAAUCUUGUUGUUUUGGCUUCUUAUCUUCAAAGACUCGAGUUUUAUCGAAUUCUUCGAAUGGAAUUGGAGGUCGAUAACAAAUUAAUUACUGAGUUACAAUACAUGAACAAAGGAAUGUUCAAAAUGGGAUGUUACAUCGCUCAGAGGAGAUAUUCCAUGGCCUCUCCUCAUCCAGAACUAUGUCUAUCACUUUUUUACGAGGCUUUCUUAAAAGUCAGGGUCAGCGGCAAGUUUGCGGAUACUUAUAUGAUAUUUUAAAAAUAUAUUUUCCCAUUUUAUACUUAACUAAAACCUUGUUUUAAUACAAAGUCUUUUCCUUGUUUCAUGGUUAAUUCAAUGCUGCAAAAAUCUACGUUCUGAUAGGUUGAAAAUUACAAGAAAAAAAUAAUAUAAUAAUAAUUCAAAUAGAACUGAACUUCAGCGGCAACUUUAUUAAGAUCGAAUAGUGAACGAUAA